CUAGAAAAUAAUAUAGAGGGAGUAUGAAGAGUUUUGAUCUCUUCUGUGUAGGUUCGAUUCCUACUUUUCUAGG
rnacentral:tRNA from 1 species